rnacentral:rRNA from 1 species
UACGUAGGGUGCAAGCGUUAAUCGGAAUUACUGGGCGUAAAGCGUGCGCAGGCGGUUUUGUAAGUCUGUCGUGAAAUCCCCGGGCUCAACCUGGGAAUUGCGAUGGAGACUGCAAGGCUAGAAUCUGGCAGAGGGGGGUAGAAUUCCACGUGUAGCAGUGAAAUGCGUAGAGAUGUGGAGGAACACCGAUGGCGAAGGCAGCCCCCCUGGGUCAACACUGACGCUCAUGCACGAAAGCGUGGGGAGCAAACAGG